GAGCCGCCCAAGAACAGCCGCUCGUUCGCUAACGGCCAAUUACUAUCAUUCAGUAACAACAUGGUGAUGAAAACAGGCUAGAUAGCUCUCUAAAUUUGUUAACCAUGACAAAGACAUGUUGGACAUUCAUUAAACGCUUCAGUGAGCUUAAAGAAUUGCAGAGUGAACAUGGCUUCACCCCAGGCCCUCAGCCUUUCUUGCCAGAUGCUCUUUUGCUAGAUGCCCACCUGAGAAGACGUCACAUGCUUAUCUUAAGUCCAGCCAUCUCCUCCCCCUUCUCCCUCAUCUCUCCCCUGGUGCCAGAGGAGCCCCUUUCCUCUCCAAAUCCCCACCUCAGCCGGCCACAGCACAGAAAUACGGAUGGCUUGCUGAUUCUGUACUCAUGUACGGCUGUGUCUGGUAUGAAUCAGUUGAGCCCACUGAGGGAGCUGAAAGUGGAAAAGGCUGUUACGGUUAGGCGUUGGCCAUAGUGCCAAAGUCUGAGCCCGAUCGGACUAAAUCUCUUGUGUCCCCAAACCACAGCCAACCGUGAUGGAAUCAUUGCUCUGCUACACCAGCCGGUGCAAAGAAUCCCCACAAGAAUCUGUCAGACUCUGGAGAGAAGCGCUACAUGUUAUUCAGUCUCCCUGUAAAUAGUACACUUAUUUUAGCCUAGAUUUAAACAAAAUAUAAUAUACAUCUAUGUUUUCACAUGCUGAAAUUAGUCAUGUAUUAUUUAUUUGUUAUUUCAUUGUUUGACAGAAGUACAUUUCUG